rnacentral:snRNA from 1 species
GUGCUCGCUUCGGCAGCACAUAUACUAAAAUUGGAACGAUACAGAGAAGAUUAGCUUGGCCCAUACGCAAAUUCUCAAGUUCUAAGACACAUUUUU